UUGUAAUUAGUGUUUGUCUAGUGUAGCAGUAGUAGCUGGGCAAUUUAACAAUCUGUCCUUUCAUUGUGCAUGGUAGACAUCACUCACUCACUUUGACUGGCAAAUAUGUGGGAAAAUUACUUGGCGAGGCGUAAUGUGUAAGGUAGUGGUGUUGUUGAAAUAUUUGCCAUGUUCAUAAAGGACAUCCGUUCUCAAAAGCACCCGUUCAAAAAUAAAAUCAGGAAAUCUGCAAGUUCUGCAAUUUAUUUAUGUUAAAGCUCAUUUUAUGCUGGGAUUAAUUUCGCGCAUGCAUUCGUGACACAAUACAUUAAAUUAAAAUAAUAGUGUUCGUUUUUUAAAGUAUGUAAUAAAUCAUAAUUGAAAGAUAA